rnacentral:rRNA from 1 species
CGAACGUUGGCGGCGUGCUUAACACAUGCAAGUCGAACGAGAACGUCCCGGCUUGCCGGGAUUAGUAAAGUGGCGCACGGGUGAGUAACACGUGAGUAAUUUCCCUCUAAGCUUGGGAUAACAUUGCGAAAGCGGUGCUAAUACCGAAUAAGACCACGGUAUCACAUGAUACAGUGGGAAAAGGUGGCCUCUGUAUAUGCUAUCACUUGGAGAUAAGCUCGCGGACCAUUAGCUUGUUGGUAGGGUAACGGCCUACCAAGGCAAAGAUGGUUAGCUGGUCUGAGAGGAUGAUCAGCCACACUGGAACUGAGACACGGUCCAGACUCCUACGGGAGGCAGCAGUGGGGAAUAUUGCGCAAUGGGGGAAACCCUGACGCAGUGACGCCGUGUGAGUGAUGAAGGUUUUCGGAUCGUAAAGCUCUGUCAGAUGGGAAGAAUAAAGGCAGGGAAAAUAUUUCUGCCUGAUGACGGUACCAUCAGAGGAAGCACCGGCUAACUCC